ensembl:lncRNA
GGUCAAUGUGGGCUAGUUGGCUCUUCUCAUUUGUGAAGGAAACUAAUUAAGAAACUUGUAAAGAGCUGGGAUAAUAUCAUCAAAGCUCGUGUUGCAAUUAGAAAGAUUCUUAACUCUCCGAAAUUUUUGUCAUCCCCAAAAGACACUCUGUACCCGUGAAACACAAGCUCUCCACCUCCUUCUAACCUCUGAAAGAAGAAAUUUGACAAAAGAAAGAGAGUGGCAUUAUCUGACAGAAAGAAAAAAUUCCCCCUACUCAUUGGAAAAUACCUGAACUUGGAAGAAGGGGGCAGGGGAGGAUCUAGGGAGAGAAAAACUGGAGAAGACGAUAAGGGAAAAGCCCUGUGAUGAAGAGGCUGCAAGUUCUGAUGUCCAAGAGGUAAGAAGGGCUUAAAAUCUGGAAAUGAAGGCAGGUGGCACAGUGGUAACGAGUCUGCCUGCCAGUGCAGGAGACGCAGGAGACCCGGGUUCGAUUCCUGGGUGGGGAAGAUUCCCUGGAGGAAGGAAAGGCAACCCACUCCAGUAUGCUGGCCUGGAGAAUUCCAUGGACAGAGGAGCCUGGCAGGCUACAGUCCUUGAGACCGCAGAGUUGGACACGACUGAGCAAACACAGUGAAGGCACCACGGGGUCAGUGAAGGAUGGAGAGAAGGGAUGACAGGUGAAUUGCAGGGCAACCUGACCAAGGCCAUGGAGGCUGUUGUCCUUCACCCUCGCAGAAAAGAAGCAAGCGUGUCCCCAGAAGCUGAGGCUUCUGGUAAAACGGAGCAGGGUCC